rnacentral:rRNA from 1 species
UACAGAGGUCUCAAGCGUUGUUCGGAUUCAUUGGGCGUAAAGGGUGUGUAGGUGGCGCCGUAAGUCGGGUGUGAAAUUUCGGAGCUUAACUCCGAAACUGCAUUCGAUACUGCGGUGCUUGAGGACUGGAGAGGAGACUGGAAUUCAUGGUGUAGCAGUGAAAUGCGUAGAGAUCAUGAGGAAGACCAGUGGCGAAGGCGGGGUCUCUGGACAGUUCCUGACACUGAGACACGAAGGCCAGGGGAGCAAACGGGG